GAGGCAGGGAGAGGGAUGUAGAUGGCCAAGGGGAGGUACCUACUAAGAGGGGUUUUCUCUCAUUUCUUAAGGAGGGACUGGAAUGAGAUCAGGGUAUGUACAUGUUAGAGACAGGAAAGCAAGAAAGGAAGGUCAUGAAUGCGGACUGUGCUGGUUGACCCCGUCCCAUCAGGGAUUGGAUGAUGAAAUAGAAGGUGGAGGUUCUUCUAGAGCAUCUUGAGGUUGAGAAAAUUAUGUGAAGUCAAACAAACAAUCUCUCCUCGCUGUGCUGAUAUCCUGGGAGACGUCAAGAAGUGUAAGGCAGUCUCCCCCUAAAGGAAUCAGGCGCUAAGGCAUAGGGGCAUUAAUAGAGGAAAAGGCAAAUGACGACAAAAGAGUCAAGCAGCAACAUGAAGGCCAAACUACGGUGGAAGUCACUCUAGCAAGCCACAGAGAGGGGAUGUGGAAAGAAGGGAUCUCAGCUGAGAACUCAGAGGGUAGAGGGAAAAUGAUUUUUCCUCCCCUACAUCUGUCAACCUCUAGCUUCCUUCCUCCACUGAGGUCUCUCCAACUUCAGGCAGCCUUUUUGGACCAGAUCUAUGAAACCUACGCUGGUGGUUUCACAUAUGUGCAGCCCACAUCCGGUCCAUGGGACGUAACCAUUUCAUUCACCCCAGCAAACUCAUGGAGCCCUGGUGGAUCCCCAUACAGCCAUCUUCUCUUCACUCUACCGUGGGGACAGCUAGUCAUUGGCAGUCUCUGCCCAUUGUAGUUCUCAGGUUUGAGUCAGACUCCAGUCUGCUGUGUCUCCCAAACUCCAGGGGACGCUUAACAAGCUCUCCAAGUUGUGACCCUGAAGCCCCUCUCCCUAAGCUUGUGGUAAGGGGCAGGUGUCCACUCCCUUCUGCGCCCAGGGUCACAGGACACCAAAACUGUCUCCAAGAAUCCUCUCCUAGUCUUCAAAAUCCCCACAACUUUAUAUCCUUGAUGUGGGUAAGGUUUAGAUACCUUUUUGCGUGUGUUGCGCUGGUCUCCCAGCUCACUCUGGAAUGGGGCAUCUAUUUCCUUGGGACUUGCAUUAGUCAAGGUUCAGCUGCAGACAACAAAAUCCAAUGUACCUAUGUUAAGUAGAAAGGGAUCCUUUUAAAAUAGAAUAUUAAAUGGUUUACAGAAUCAGAUCCUACUCUGAGCUUCUGGGAAUGACUGUCAAAGCCACACUACAGUGGGGGGAGAUUAAGGGGCCACUGCUCUUCCCACAGUCAGCACUCUGAAGAAUCAGCAAACUUUGCAAAUCAGGAAGCUACUGGCAUAGUUUCUCCAGACCCACCCCAUGUCAGCCACACUCUAUCCCACCAAAGUGGAUGCCUUUUUCCCUACUUAACUCAGUUCCAAAUUUGUUUCAUACAAAUGCCUUUGAUGGGUAAAGCCUAAAUUAUCUCUGGAGCCCUAGCUGCCAGAAAACCUGAGAAAUGAUUGUGCAGACCUUUCAUAAUAAAGAGCCCCACGAGAAGGAGGUGGGAACGGAAUUUAAUUCCACAGCAUCUGCCCAAACAAUCUCAGCGAAAACUGAGAUGAAAAUAGUUCAAAUUUUAAAGAUUUUCUUUCUUGCUGUCAGUGAAAGACAAAUUGAGUGGAAAACAAACACCCACUCUUUGUUGUGUUAUGGCAAAUACAUUCUUUUAUCUAUUAUAGAGUUAUAACAGCAAGUUCCUAUUCACCAAAAAUAAUAUUUUGGAUAUUAUUAUAUGCUAUAUAUCACCCUCAAGCCAUAAAAAGAUACAGACCCAGAGAACAAAUUCCAAACUUUAUGGUACUUUUCUUGGAAACUUCAGUGUGUUCUAAAAAAUGAAUCCUAUUUCCCAUCCAUCUACUUUAUUCUAUUCCUGGGAUACUGACAUGAUCACUCAUUGUGCAGUGACAUUUGGAAAAUUCACCUUCCACGGCAGUCACGAAAGUAAAAAUAGUUCCACUUUAGCAUCCUGUAUAUUGAGAGUUUUCAGAACUUCAUAAAAUCAGAAACGAGUACUUUAGGAACCAAGUGCAGGUCUUUGGGGGUAGGGGUUGCUGUUUCUACCAAUUGGGGCUAUUAUAUUGUGAUCCUUCCUCUAUCUUAAUCCAGCCCCAUCUUUGAAAGACUUGCCUUGAACCAAACUUCCCAGUACAUUCGGACCUUGCCUUAUUUAUCUAAGCCGCUCUCAGAGCUCUGUUGAGGCUGAGUUCUCCUUGAACUCCGUGAGGAAUAAGUUCAGCUUUCUCUUAUUAACACGUUGUGCUGGGGAUAUUUGAGAAACAGCAUGGGACAAUGUAAUUAAAUCCAUCCAUUUCCCCCUUAUGACUUAUGCUUUGGGAUCUUAUUUAAGAUGUCCUUCCCAAUCUGAAGCACAAUUAUAUUCUGAAUAUUGUCUUUUAGACAAUGUAUGAAGAGAGUCUCACACAUUAUCUUCUAUUAGCUUUACAGUUUUGACACAAACAGGACACAACAAAGAAAUCUGCCCCUUAGGAUGGUGGCAGGGUCUUGUUAAAGUCCACCUCCGUCAUUUAGAGCUGUGCUAGUACUCUAGCCAUUAACCUCAUGUGCCUAUUUGCAUUUAAGUUAAUUAAAAUUCAACAAAAAAUAAGAAUUCAGCUCCUCAGUUGCACUUGCCUCAUGUCAGAGCUGAACAACCACACGUGGCGAGCGGCUACUGUGCUGGAUGGGCAGGUACAGAACAGCUCCAUUAUUGCAGGAAAUUGUGUCAGACGGCACUGCUUUCUGUAUUUCUGUUUCAACAUAACUGGCCGGCAAACAAAGCUUUCAGUUCCUUGUUAUAAAUUUAGUGUCUUACUAAUACAGAUGAAAACUUUUUAUAGCACACUGUACUUUCACACCUGGAUAGUUUGCUUUAGUGUUUCCAUUUAACUAAAGCAGAUUUUCCUCUUAGAGAAUCACACUUCUGAUUUUGUACUUUCCUUUCUCAGAGAAGGGUUUAUAUUAUUUUGGUGCUUCAAUCCUUUUGUCCUAUUCCCCCCAAGUCUCCUCCAAAGCCUUCUUGCCCUCGCACAAAGCAAGUGCAAAUGCGGCCCAUUUGGAUGGAUGAGGGGGAUACACUGCCGGAAGCCAGGGUGCAUGGGGGCUGCUCGGCAGUGGGCAAAGCGCUGGGGGGCCGGGUGUUGGAGGACAGGGUCCAAAUGCCCAGCUCGGCUUUGAUAUCUUUCUGUGAAGUCUGUGAAACGUGGGCAAGUCACUGGCCUGCUCUUCAGCUCAGCCUCCACAAGAAAAAAGGCUGGAGACCCACUCUGGGGUCCCCUCUGCAUGCGAUCAAGGCACAUGCAUGAACAGCGAUGCAGAGUUGAGCAAAGCAGGGCUCACGCGGUUAAGUUAAGCCCCCUUGGCCCUCGGGGGACUCGCAGGCUGUCUAGAGAGGAUGGAAGAAUGUCCACAACAGGGUGGUGACAGAACACAGCACAGAAUCAGGGCCAGGGCAGCCAGACGCUACGUGCUCAGGGCAGGGUCCGAUGGUGGCUGCAGGCUGGAGUCCUCUGCACCAGCUUCUUGCAAGAGGGCCCCCUUGUGGCCCAACACAAGUGAGGCUAGUUGGGGAGUAGCCCCCAGAGGCAUUCCAGGGGCUGGUGAGGGGGACAAGCUCCAGCAGCCUGAGGCACGACCAGCAUGGAGUGGGACCAUAAGGAGACUGGACACCCCGGGGGCUAGAGACAGGGUGGGCACAGAUAAUGGGGUCUUAACGCAGACCCAGGCCUCUAACUGAGCAGUGAAGUCCAGUUAAUGCAGGGGAGCUGAGCACUCUCGUGAGCUCAGUAAGCAAGACACACACUCAGGGACAAGUAGCUGUAGACCCCUCCCCAAUUUGUCCCCUCUUCUCUGGGCUGCCUAGUGACCACUUGGCCUCCAGGUCUCUUCAUUACUUUCCUCAGAAACUCCAGCUUCCCAACUCCUCUCUCCUGUUGUCACCCUUCUCCCUGGGGCUCCUGGAGGCCCAGCUCCGUAGCAGGACCAGGGCAGGGAGAAUUCUGCUCAUUUUAGGGAGCUGAGAUAAUUACAUUACCUGAACAGGACACUGUGAAUACCAAACACACCCAGGGAGAGCUGGGUUAUAACCAACUGGGAAAAACAGUGAAUUCAACACCCACUGGAAUGUAUGCCUGACCGGCGUGCAGUGCAGCAAACCCACCUCAGGGUUCCACCUAGGACACCUCAUCACAUUGAGUCUGCAUGUCUCCUUAGAUUCUUCUUGGCUGUGACCAUUUCUUAAAAUUUCCUUAUUUUUGAUGGUGUUGACAGUUUUGAGGAGUACUGGCCAGGAGACAGAGGGAGGUCUGAACACACACAGAAGAGAAGGUGAUGCGGAGAUGGAACAGAGAGAUUUGAAGAUGCUGGCUUUGAAGACUGGAGUGAUACAGUCACAAGCCAAAGAAUGUUGGCACCCACUGGAAGCUGGAGGAAGCAAGGGCUAGAUUCUUCCCUAGA